rnacentral:rRNA from 1 species
CCUACGGGGAGCAGCAGUGAGGAAUAUUGGUCAAUGGGCGGAAGCCUGAACCAGCCAAGUCGCGUGCAGGAUGGCGGCCCUACGGGUUGUAAACUGCUUUUUUACGGGAAUAACGCGCCUUCCGUGGCGCGCUUUGCAUGUACCGUAUGAAUCAGGUCUGCCUAAUUCGGUGCCACCAGCCGGGGUAAUGCGGAAAGUCCGGGGGUUUCCGGGAUGUAUUGGGGUUAAGGGUGGCGGAGGCCGAGUGUCAAGCGUCCUGGGAACUGUCCGUGCUCACACCGGGCCUUACACCGCGAACUUGCGUGAUUGAGGCGGCGGAGAGCAGGCGGAAUUGGUCGGGUAGCGGUGAAAUGCUUAGAUAUGACGAAGAACCCCGAGUGCGAAGGCAGCUUGCUGCAGCGGAACUGACGCUGAUGCUCGAAAGCGCGGGUAUCGAACAGGAUUAGAUACCCUGGUAGUC